rnacentral:rRNA from 1 species
UACGUAGGGUGCGAGCGUUGUCCGGAAUUAUUGGGCGUAAAGAGCUCGUAGGCGGUGUGUCACGUCGGCCGUGAAAACCUGCAGCUUAACUGUGGGCGUGCGGUCGAUACGGGCAUCACUGGAGUUCGGCAGGGGAGACUGGAAUUCCUGGUGUAGCGGUGAAAUGCGCAGAUAUCAGGAAGAACACCAAUGGCGAAAGCAGCUCUCUGGGACGGUACUGACGCUGAGACGCGAAAGCGUGGGGAGCGAACAGG